rnacentral:rRNA from 1 species
GACAGAGGGUGCAAACGUUGUUCGGAAUUACUGGGCGUAAAGCGCGUGUAGGCUGCUCUGCAAGUCGGGUGUGAAAGCCCUGGGCUCAACCUAGGAAGUGCACUCGAAACUGCAGAGCUGGAGUCCUGGAGAGGAAGGCGGAAUUCUCGGUGUAGAGGUGAAAUUCGUAGAUAUCGAGAGGAACACCGGUGGCGAAGGCGGCCGUCUGGACAGUGACUGACGCUGAGACGCGAAAGCGUGGGGAGCAAACAGG